rnacentral:tRNA from 1 species
GAAGAUAUAGCUCAAAUGGUAGAGUGCAUGCUUAGCAUAGAUGAUGAGGUCCUGGGUUCAAUCCCCAGUACCUCCU